CCUACGGGAGGCAGCAGUGAGGAAUAUUGGUCAAUGGGCGAGAGCCUGAACCAGCCAAGUCGCGUGAAGGAUGCCGGCCCUACGGGUUGUAAACUUCUUUUGUCAGGGAGCAAUUGAGUCCACGUGUGGGCUUAGCGAGAGUACCUGAAGAAAAAGCAUCGGCUAAAUCCGUGCCAGCAGCCGCGGUAAUACGGAGGAUGCGAGCGUUAUACGGAUUUAUUGGGUUUAAAGGGUGCGUAGGCGGAAUAUCAAGUCAGCGGGAAAAAUUCGGGGCUCAACCCCGUCGUGCCGUUGAAACUGAUGUUCUUGAGUGGGCGAGAAGUAUGCGGAAUGCGUGGUGUAGCGGUGCAAUGCAUAGAUAUCACGCAGAACUCCGAUUGCGAAGGCAGCAUACCGGCGCCCAACUGACGCUGAAGCACGAAAGCGUGGGUAUCGAACAGGAUUAGAUACCCCUGUAGUC
rnacentral:rRNA from 1 species